CCUACGGUAGGCAGCAGUGAGGAAUAUUGGUCAAUGGGCUUACGCCUGAACCAGCCAAGUCGCGUGAGGGAAGACUGCCCUAUGGGUUGUAAACCUCUUUUGUCAGGGAGCAACGCCGGCUACGUGUAGCCGGACUGAGAGUACCUGAAGAAAAAGCAUCGGCUAACUCCGUGCCAGCAGCCGCGGUCAUACGGAGGAUGCGAGCGUUAUCCGGAUUUAUUGGGUUUAAAGGGUGCGUAGGCGGAAUGCCACGGCAGCGGUACAAUCGCGGGGCUCAAGCUCGCUCCGCCGUUGAAACUGGCGUUCUUGAGUGGGCGAGAAGUAUGCGGAAUGCGUGGUGUAGCGGUGAAAUGCAUAGAUAUCACGCAGAACUCCGAGUGCGAAGGCAGCAUACCGGCGCCCAACUGACGCUGAAGCACGAAAGCGUGGGUAGCGAACAGGAUUAGAUACCCUUGUAGUC
rnacentral:rRNA from 1 species